AGUUUGAUUAUGGCUCAGGAUGAACGCUGGCGGCGUGCCUAACACAUGCAAGUCGAGCGAAGCGCUUUACUUCAAUUCUUUCGGGAAGAGGAGUGAAAUGACUGAGCGGCGGACGGGUGAGUAACGCGUGGGUAACCUGCCUCAUACAGGGGGAUAACAGUUAGAAAUGACUGCUAAUACCGCAUAAGCGCACAGGACCGCAUGGUCAAGUGUGAAAAACUCCGGUGGUAUGAGAUGGACCCGCGUCUGAUUAGUUAGUUGGUGGGGUAACGGCCCACCAAGGCGACGAUCAGUAGCCGGCCUGAGAGGGUGAACGGCCACAUUGGGACUGAGACACGGCCCAAACUCCUACGGGAGGCAGCAGUGGGGGAUAUUGCACAAUGGGGGAAACCCUGAUGCAGCGACGCCGCGUGAGCGAUGAAGUAUUUCGGUAUGUAAAGCUCUAUCAGCAGGGAAGAAAAUGA
rnacentral:rRNA from 1 species